GUGAAUUCAUAUCAGAAAGUCUGGGUUAUUAUACACUGUGAGUUAUAAGUGAAAUUCCUACAAAGGAGGAGGCGUGGGAAAGGCACACCAAAGUUUCCAAGCUGUGGCCUGAGAUGAAGUGAGCAGACUGAAUGCAGGAUUCGUGAUAAAGGAAAGAAAGACAUUUCUGUGAAAUAGCGAUGUACUCUACAUGCGUUCUGCUACUGAUUUCAUUGAGGGUUCAUCCAGAGAACACUUCUGGCUUCUCCACUGGUCAGUUCUCAGCUCAGCAUCGAUAUUAAACUAUACUUGUAGAUUGUCAUGGAAAUAAAUAUUGCAUUGUGUGAACAUGA